UGAGGAAUAUUGGUCAAUGGGCGGCAGCCUGAACCAGCCAUCCCGCGUGAAGGAAGAAUGCGCUAUGCGUUGUAAACUUCUUUUUCAGGGGGAUAAAAUUCUGUAUGUAUACAGGACUGAAGGUACCCUGAGAGUAAGCAUCGGCUAACUCCGUGCCAGCAGCCGCGGUAAUACGGAGGAUGCGAGCGUUAUCCGGAUUUAUUGGGUCUAAAGGGUGCGUAGGCGGAAUAAUAAGUCAGUGGUGAAACCCUGUAGCUUAACUGUAGACUUGCCAUUGAUACUGUUUUUCUUGAGUAUGGUCAAGGCAGGCGGAAUGUGUAAUGUAGCGGUGAAGUGCUUAGAUAUUACACAGAACACCGAUUGCGAAGGCAGCUUGCUGGGCCAUUACUGACGCUGAGGCACGAAAGUGUGGGGAUCAAACA
rnacentral:rRNA from 1 species